UGGGGAAUUGUUCGCAAUGGGCGCAAGCCUGACGACGCAACGCCGCGUGGAGGACGAAGAUCUUCGGGUCGUAAACUCCUGUCGAGCGGGAAGAAACCCACGGGGAUGAAUACUCCCUGUGGCUGACGGUACCGCUAAAGGAAGCCCCGGCUAACUCCGUGCCAGCAGCCGCGGUAAUACGGGGGGGGCAAGCGUUGUUCGGAAUUACUGGGCGUAAAGGGCUCGUAGGCGGCCAACUAAGUCGGAUGUGAAAUCCCCAGGCUCAACCUGGGAACUGCAUCCGAUACUGGAUGGCUUGAAUCCGGGAGAGGGAUGCAGAAUUCCAGGUGUAGCGGUGAAAUGCGUAGAUAUCUGGAGGAAUACCGGUGGCGAAGGCGGCAUCCUGGACCGGCAUUGACGCUGAUGAGCGAAAGCCAGGGGAGCAAACGG
rnacentral:rRNA from 1 species